rnacentral:lncRNA from 1 species
UCUCAAGCUGCCAGCUAAAUGUGGACUUGAUCCAUAUUGGGGCUGGGUAUGGAGUUGAUCCAUACUGGGACUGGGACUUUGCUCCUACAAUAUAAUGUUAUGGAGUUUGCUAUUUUUUCUUCACUUUCCUUUGUGGUGGCCUCCAAUAUAGGUAACUCCAUCUUCUCCAUGGUGAAGAUAAAUGAAAAGAAUUCAUCUAGUGCUGCCAUAUAUCUUCCUAACUGGUUGGUCAGCCUUAAGCAAGCAAGCAGACAGGAGAGGUUGGAGUCACCAGCUCCUGUACUGGCAUUGAGGACCCAUGCUGAGAGGAGUUUAUUUGCAGUCCCAAGUAUGUUCUAG